GAUUGCUCGCUGCCUCACUAGCUCCCAUUUUCAGGUUUGUGAAUGUUAACCCAUGUUUCAGAGCUAUGCUUUUAAAUACAUAAUUUGGCUUGCUAGAAUUUGGAUACUUUGGGUAGGUAUGGUUCCUUGGGGUCUAUUCUGUAUUUGGAAAUCCAAAAUGCUACAAGUCAUGAUUAAGAUAAAUAUUUUCUCUUUGGAGAAAUUGUUGUUGAUAAUUUCACCUUUUGUCUGUUUUAUGUGUGUAUUGUAUUAAUUAUUGGUUUCUUUUUGUAUGUUGCAAAAUUCCACUUUUUUAUUCAUGCCUUACACGUGUUUCAUUCCCUAUUAGCUGGUAUUAUUGCUUAUGUAUAUUGAAUUGAUAUUCUUUUCAAGGUUAGUUGCAACCUGUUUUGUCGGUUGCAUUCUUCUAGUACAAUAGUUACAGUAUUUUCAUUCUUUUCUUCUUGUUGUUGCUAAUGCAAUGUUAUAUAGCUGACAUCUUGUUGAUGAGGUUAAAAAAAAAAAA
rnacentral:misc_RNA from 1 species